GAGAGGGAUCAGCACCUGGCUGAGCACGCCCAGCUCUACGAGAGCAGCAUGGGAAUCUGCGCAAGGGCGAAAGCUGCGCAGCACGCCCGUGUGGACGACGGCCUCGGGUUGUAACCACUUUCAGCGAGACGAAAAUGACGUACCUGCAGAAGAAGCCCCGGCCAACUACGUGCCAGCAGCCGCGGUAACACGUAGGGGGCGAGCGUUGUCCGGAAUUACUGGGCGUAAAGGGCUCGUAGGCGGUUUGGUAAGUCAGAUGUGAAAACUCCAGGCUCAACUUGGAGACGCCAUCUGAUACUGCCAUGACUAGAGUUUGGUAGAGGAGGGCAGAAUUCCCGGUGUAGCGGGGAAAUGCGCAGAUAUCAGGGAGGAAUACCAGUCAGGCGAAGGGCGGCACUCUGGGGCCGACAACUGGACGCGUGAGGGAGCGGAAAGGCGUGAGGGAGCGGAACAGG
rnacentral:rRNA from 1 species